GGAGGAGUGGCCGAGUGGUUGAAGGCGGCGGUCUUGAAAACCGUUGACCUGAAAGGGUCCGUGGGUUCGAAUCCUACCUCCUCCG
rnacentral:tRNA from 1 species